rnacentral:rRNA from 1 species
AGUAGCCGCGGUAAUACGUAGGUGGCAAGCGUUGUCCGGAAUUAUUGGGCGUAAAGCGUGCGCAGGCGGUUGUGUAAGACAGGUGUGAAAUCCCCGGGCUUAACCUGGGAACUGCGCUUGUGACUGCACAGCUAGAGUAUGGCAGAGGGGGGUGGAAUUCCACGUGUAGCAGUGAAAUGCGUAGAGAUGUGGAGGAACACCGAUGGCGAAGGCAGCCCCCUGGGCCAAUACUGACGCUCAUGCACGAAAGCGCGGGGAGCAAACAGGAUUAGAUACCCGGGUAGUCCCUGUCUCUUAUACA